GGAUGUGAGGGUGAUCUGGCUGUGACAUCUGCCACCCCAUUGAUUGCCAGGGUUGAUUCAGCUGAUCUGGCUGGCUAGGCGGGUGUCCCCUUCCUCCCUCACCACUCCAUGUGCGUCCCUCCCGAAGCUGCGCACUCGGUCAAAGAGGGCGACCAUCCCUGAUAGAGGAGGACCGGUCUUCGGUCAAGGGUAUACGAGUAGCUGCGCUCCCCUGCUAGAACCUCCAAACAAGCUCUCAAGAAAAUACAUCUUUCACUGGCAGAGUCUUUAGAUUCUAAUUUCUAGUCUUUAGUCUCAGACUAGAUUGUAAACAUUG
rnacentral:snRNA from 1 species